rnacentral:rRNA from 1 species
CGGGGGGAGCAAGCGUUGUUCGGAUUUACUGGGCGUAAAGGGCGCGUAGGCGGCGUGACAAGUCACUUGUGAAAUCUCCGGGCUUAACUCGGAACGGUCAAGUGAUACUGUCGUGCUAGAGUACAGAAGGGGCAACUGGAAUUCUCGGUGUAGCGGUGAAAUGCGUAGAUAUCGAGAGGAACACCUGCGGCGAGGGCGGGUUGCUGGGCUGAUACUGACGCUGAGGCGCGAAAGCUAGGGGAGCGAACGGGAUUAGAUACCCCGGUAGUCCUAGCCUUAAACGAUGAAUGCUUGGUGUCUCGGGUUAUAAAGUCCCGGGGUGCCGUCGCUAACGCUUUUAGCAUUCCGCCUGGGGAGUACGGUCGCAAGACUG